rnacentral:rRNA from 1 species
UGCAAGUCGAGGGGCAGCAUGAUUGAAGCUUGCUUCAAUUGAUGGCGACCGGCGCACGGGUGAGUAACGCGUAUCCAACCUUCCGUACACUCAGGGAUAGCCUUUCGAAAGAAAGAUUAAUACCUGAUGGUAUGAUGAGAUUGCAUGAUAUCAUCAUUAAAGAUUCAUCGGUGUACGAUGGGGAUGCGUUCCAUUAGGUAGUAGGCGGGGUAACGGCCCACCUAGCCUACGAUGGAUAGGGGUUCUGAGAGGAAGGUCCCCCACAUUGGAACUGAGACACGGUCCAAACUCCUACGGGAGGCAGCAGUGAGGAAUAUUGGUCAAUGGACGAGAGUCUGAACCAGCCAAGUAGCGUGAAGGAUGAAGGUCCUACGGAUUGUAAACUUCUUUUAUAAGGGAAUAAAACCUCCCACGUGUGGGAGCUUGUAUGUACCUUAUGAAUAAGCAUCGGCUAACUCCGUGCCAGCAGCCGCGGUAAUACGGAGGAUGCGAGCGUUAUCCGGAUUUAUUGGGUUUAAAGGGAGCGCAGACGGGUCGUUAAGUCAGCUGUGAAAGUUUGGGGCUCAACCUUAAAAUUGCAGUUGAUACUGGCGUCCUUGAGUGCGGUUGAGGUGUGCGGAAUUCGUGGUGUAGCGGUGAAAUGCUUAGAUAUCACGAAGAACUCCGAUUGCGAAGGCAGCACACUAAGCCGUAACUGACGUUCAUGCUCGAAAGUGUGGGUAUCAAACAGGAUUAGAUACCCUGGUAGUCCACACGGUAAACGAUGGAUACUCGCCGUUGGCGAUAUACAGUCAGCG